rnacentral:lncRNA from 1 species
CUCCUGCCUCAGUCUUUGUGUAGCUCAUACUUUCUUCACAUCCACAGAGUACAUACCAUUUCCUGCUGUCAGGCAAAUCUUAGAAAUUUCUACAAAUCCCAGAAAGAAUGGGUAAGCAGCCCCUGGGUCCCUUCCUAGCCCCUUACCUUGAUGACAAGAUCCACAUAGCCUUGAUCCUCAUCACUGGUGACAGGAGUGUAUGGCCUGAUGACCAGGCUGCCAUCAAUUCGGGUGGAGAGGUAGAUAUGUUUGCCUGGGGACCGUGCAGAGAGCUACAUAAGGGUUGUCUGUGAUGUGCUGCAUCCCUCAAAAUACUCAAAGAGAUUUGAGAGAACAAGAUGUCUUGCUUCCUGCUGUGGUCCCAAGGAGCUACAAGGCAGGGAAGAUUUGCCCCAUUGAGCCCUCAGUUGGAUCUCUUAUAAGCGCCCAGUUGAGGAAACACUUAUUUCCAGCGUUUCCUGCCAGUUACUGCCAGGACCUUGACAGAUGAGCCAAAAGGGUCUGGGCAAUGGGAAAAAGUUAGUAGUGCUUGCUCAGAGGGAGUAAUUAGCAAAUCCUGCAGGGAAGAGGCAAGACUGUUGAGUGUUAAAGCUGGAUGGGGGUCAUGGAAGCCACACUCUAGAGGGGCCCAGUGGCACCUCACAGCUUGGAGGAUGCAGAGCCAAGUGGGGGAAGGGGAAUGGUGUGUGGAGCAAACCGGUUGAAGCAGCGUGUUUCAUGAGAUCCCAGGAGGGGAGUCACCUUCUGAGGAUACCAGGGAAAGGAGCCCAUUCCACACUUUCCUUACCCACAGGCAGCCCCAGAGUGUGGUGGGCGGUGGGCAGGGCAAAGCGGAACCUCUUGGUGUUGUGGCUCACAGUCUGGAGGGUGGAGGACACAAGUGUUUCACCAAGCGCGCCUGGCGCUGCCACGUCCCUUGGACAUCCCAACCACCGUGGGUGCUGUACCCUCCAUGCCAGGAGCACUCUGGUCCCCUCCUUCACCCUGGCCCUUUCUUCCCCAACUUACCGUCUUGUCUAGCAGUCGUAGCAGGUACUUUUCAUUGGGGUCCAGGAGAGUGACCUGAGGCCGGCGGGACCUCCGAACCAAGUAGGAGCCCACAGCCAGGCCGAGCAGAGUGACCAGCCCCACCCCCAGGGAGGCCAGCAGGACGGGGCUCUGUGGGUAGAGGAGGCAGCGUGACCGCCAGGCUGGGUAAGAGCCCGGGGCUUGGGUGGUGACCGUCCCAGGGGUGGCGAUCCCGAGCUCCAGCGCGGAGGCAUGCCAAGGGCAGAGGGGUAACCUGGCGGAGUCCCGAGCCCGGAUGUGCGGGAUCGGGACCCCAGCAUCCACGGUGGGCCCAGAGCCCUGCGGGGCGGGGUCGGCAGCGACAGCCCCUGGUCCGGAGCUGAGUGGCCAGAACCAGAUGGGGAGGGGUCCCCCAGUGGAGGAUACUGAAUGAGGGUCUUACCGUCUGGAUCCCCAUGACGGAGCGCCUUUUCCUCCACCACCUGACAAGCCGACAGAUCCCACAAU